rnacentral:misc_RNA from 1 species
ACGCGUCUCAGCACUUUUUUUCUCACAAUCUUUCAUACCAUACUGCUAACGGAACAGUUACAUUCAGCUGUUUUUCGAGACGCCGCGCACACGUACUUCUACACACUAACAUUCACAUACGUGUGUCACUACUACGCGGCUAAUCUAGUCUAGCACACAAAAUUAUGCAUAUCUCAACAAGGAUAAUACUACCGUAUAUUCAUUGUUGCAACCAUUUAUAAAUUUGGAGCACAUAGAUAACAUGGACAAUUAUUAUAACAGUGUACACAAAUUGCAGAGGAAUUAUUUCGAGAAAAAAAGAAAUGAUCGAAUCACCAUGAACAUAUGGUAUGACAUUAUGAAGCACAAACUGCUUAAUCCAAACGAAGAAGCCGAUCUUCAGCAUCCGAACUGUACAGCGUGAAAGCUAUAUUAUAGAUGAUUCCUGAAAUCUCUAAAGGAGAAGGGGGCGGACGCUUUAAAAGCCAAGGAA